rnacentral:rRNA from 1 species
GGCGAACGGGUGAGUAACACGUGAGUAACCUGCCCUUAACUCUGGGAUAAGCCUGGGAAACUGGGUCUAAUACCGGAUAUGACUCCUCAUCGCAUGGUGGGGGGUGGAAAGCUUUAUUGUGGUUUUGGAUGGACUCGCGGCCUAUCAGCUUGUUGGUGAGGUAAUGGCUCACCAAGGCGACGACGGGUAGCCGGCCUGAGAGGGUGACCGGCCACACUGGGACUGAGACACGGCCCAGACUCCUACGGGAGGCAGCAGUGGGGAAUAUUGCACAAUGGGCGCAAGCCUGAUGCAGCGACGCCGCGUGAGGGAUGACGGCCUUCGGGUUGUAAACCUCUUUCAGUAGGGAAGAAGCGAAAGUGACGGUACCUGCAGAAGAAGCGCCGGCUAACUACGUGCCAGCAGCCGCGGUAAUACGUAGGGCGCAAGCGUUAUCCGGAAUUAUUGGGCGUAAAGAGCUCGUAGGC